GGGUUGUGAGGUUAAGCGACUAAGCGUACACGGUGGAUGCCCUGGCAGUCAGAGGCGAUGAAGGACGUGCUAAUCUGCGAUAAGCGUCGGUAAGGUGAUAUGAACCGUUAUAACCGGCGAUUUCCGAAUGGGGAAACCCAGUGUGUUUCGACACACUAU
rnacentral:rRNA from 1 species